rnacentral:rRNA from 1 species
UACGUAGGGGGCAAGCGUUGUCCGGAAUCAUUGGGCGUAAAGCGCGCGUAGGCGGCCCUGUAAGUCCGUUGUGAAAGUCAAAGGCUCAACCUUUGAAAGCCGAUGGAUACUGCAGGGCUAGAGUCCGGAAGAGGCGAGUGGAAUUCCUGGUGUAGCGGUGGAAUGCGCAGAUAUCAGGAGGAACACCGGUGGCGAAGGCGGGUCGCUGGGACGGUACUGACGCUGAGGCGCGAAAGCGUGGGGAGCGAACAGG